GGAAGAGGGGCGGGACAGAGCGAUGCUGCCUGAACUGACAGCAAAUUUAAAUUACUGAGCUUUCUUUUGCUUUUUUUUCUUUCUUUGCGUGCCCUUUCUUUUUUUUUUUUUCUUUUUUUUUUUUUUUGGUAUUUUUCUACUCUGCGACAAACUGAAAAGAUUUGAGCACACGCUAAUUUAACAACCCUGCUUCGUCGUCUUCUUUAUUUCCCCCUUCUGCUUCCAGGAUAAUUAAAAGAGAAACCUGUAAAGGCAACGUUCCUUCAAGCAAGUUGGUGCUGUAACGCGCUGGUCUACAGAUAGAAAAACUCAAGGUGUUAAUCAGCUGAACAGGUAUUCAGCUCUUUUCAACAGAGUAACAACGAGUAGCUCAGCAAAGAAGAAGAGAGCAGGUGUGGAAGGCAGGGAAGAACAGUGGGGCUCCUUCAAGACAGGAAAAAAUAUUCUCAGGCAUGGGGAGAAAAAGAAAGAAUAAGCUGCUCUGUGGUACCAGUGCCUACAGCGGAAGAGAUGAACUACAUUCCCAACAGCAGUUCUGCCUCUUUCUCCUUGCACCUCAUUUUUUGCAUAAUAAGAGAAAAUUAUACUUUGUCAUGCUGUAUUAAAGAUAAUUAUCUCCUGCA